CCCACUCCAGCCCAACUGGUCGACUUCCAACGACUCCUCCCACUCCCUCACUGCUGCCAAGGCACUGUAGCCUGCACUAGGGGCCUCUGUCUUCAGCUGCGUGCCUCGGGCUGCCGACUUUGCUGAGUGAGCAACUCUACGGGACUUCGGGACUUUGGACUUCCGCGGUGGGAGUGGAAUCCAGGCGUGUCGGUGCGGAUCUGCGCUCCCUGGCUCUGUGCUUGCUCUUCUCCACGGCGGGACCAGGCUGGCUGCUGGGGAUGUCUUCAUCUGCCUGGAGGCCAGAUGGGCAACAUCUGGAAUCUGCUGCCUUUGGAGCAAAGAAGAGCAGAAAAACACAGUCAGACAGGGCUGGGCUCCUCCCCAGCCUUGCCAGCAACUCGGUGGCCUGAGGCCUGUUCUGACCAGGCAGAGGGCUGCUGCCCUCCUUGCCCGGAGAGCGCCUCUGAGGCCAAGCAAUGAGGAAGCUGAGGACAGAAAGACCUCAUCGUCCUACUGAUUAAACUACGGGCAUUCACCAAAGCCAGGAGUUAAGUCACAAGCAAUGCCAUGUUUUGUGUUUAAUACCGUAUUGGCCUCUCCUGGGUUUUCUCUUUUAAAUAAAAUCACAGGUCUACUGAAUACAACAGCCUUUUACACGCUUUCUGUUCACCCUUCCUACGGCUAAAACUUGCCCGUGGAACUGUAGAGCCUCAAUCAAGAGCCACGGUGGCGUAAUAUCCUAACUGCAGGCAAAAUGCCCAAGAGAAAACCAUUUCAGGAGUGCAGCCCGGGGCGGUCCCAGCAAAAGCCUCAAGGGAAGGCUCCAGGGUGGGUGCGCUGGUUAAAGUCGCAUGGCAGCCUGGCUAGGCCAUGAUCGUCAGAUGCCACGGAACCAACUUCCAUUUUGUCAUCUGCUGUGACUGGUCAAUCAGGUGGACGGGGUGUGGCCUGCAUCCAAUCUAUAUGGAUGUCCUGGCAGGCGUGCUCCGUCUCAACACUGCGUCUGACUAGACGUCAUCUGACCUCUGCUUCUUGAGACAUGCAUGGCGAAUUUUCGGGUUUGCCAGCUCUUAUAACGACAUGGGGGUUUCAGGAGAACCUCCCGCCUGACACCUAACUCACUUGCUCAUCUGUACACCCACAUGUGCCACCUGCUUGAAAUAAAUCCCGCUCUAUAUUGAUA